CAGCAGCCGCGGGAAUACGAAGGGGGCUAGCGUUGUUCGGAUUUACUGGGCGUAAAGCGCACGUAGGCGGACUUUUAAGUCAGGGGUGAAAUCCCGGGGCUCAACCCCGGAACUGCCUUUGAUACUGGAAGUCUUGAGUAUGGUAGAGGUGAGUGGAAUUCCGAGUGUAGAGGUGAAAUUCGUAGAUAUUCGGAGGAACACCAGUGGCGAAGGCGGCUCACUGGACCAUUACUGACGCUGAGGUGCGAAAGCGUGGGGAGCAAACAGGAUUAGAUACCCGGGUAGUCCCUGUCUCUUAUAC
rnacentral:rRNA from 1 species